UACGGGGGGGGCAAGCGUUGUUCGGAAUUACUGGGCGUAAAGGCUCGUAGGUGGCCAACUAAGUCAUACGUGAAAUCCCUCGGCUUAACCGGGGAACUGCGUCUGAUACUGGAUGGCUUGAGGUUGGGAGAGGGAUGCGGAAUUCCAGGUGUAUCGGUGAAAUGCGUAGAUAUCUGGAGGAACACCGGUGGCGAAGGCGGCAUCCUGGACCAAUUCUGACACUGAGGAGCGAAAGCCAGGGGAGCAAACGGG
rnacentral:rRNA from 1 species